GGCAGUGGUAGCUUGGUGGUUAAGGCUCUGGGUUGCUGAAGGGAAGGUCGUGGGUUCAAUCCCCAGCACUGUCA